rnacentral:rRNA from 1 species
UACAGAGACUGCAAGCGUUAUUCGGAUUCACUGGGCGUAAAGGGUGCGCAGGCGGCCAUGUGUGUCAGGUGUGAAAGCCCGAGGCUCAACCUCGGAAUUGCGCCUGAAACUACAUGGCUAGAGUACUGGAGAGGGUAGCGGAAUUCAUGGUGUAGCAGUGAAAUGCGUAGAUAUCAUGAGGAACACCAGUGGCGAAGGCGGCUUUCUGGCCUAUUCUUGACGCUGAGGCGCGAGAGCUAGGGGAGCGAACGGG